GCGAACCGGGCUUGGGGGGCGGCUGCACAGUCUCCGGGAUCCCCAGGCCUGGAGGGGGGUCUGCGCGCGGCCGGCUGGCAUUGCCCCCCUGUCCGGUCCCGAGCGGGCCUCCCUCGGGCCAGCCCGAUGUGACCGGGCCCAGCAGAGCCUGAGCAAGGAGCGGGUCCGUCGCGGAGCCGGAGGGCGGGAGGAACAUGACAUCGCGGAGAUGGUUUCACCCAAACAUCACUGGCGUGGAGGCAGAAAACCUGCUGUUGACAAGAGGAGUUGAUGGCAGUUUUUUGGCGAGGCCCAGUAAAAGCAACCCUGGAGACUUCACCCUUUCCGUCAGAAGAAAUGGUGCUGUCACCCACAUCAAGAUUCAGAACACUGGUGAUUACUAUGACUUGUACGGAGGGGAGAAGUUUGCCACUUUGGCUGAGUUGGUCCAGUAUUACAUGGAACAUCAUGGGCAAUUAAAAGAGAAGAAUGGAGAUGUUAUUGAGCUUAAAUAUCCUCUGAACUGUGCAGAUCCUACCUCUGAAAGGUGGUUUCAUGGACACCUCUCUGGGAAAGAAGCAGAGAAAUUACUAACUGAGAAAGGAAAACACGGUAGCUUUCUGGUACGAGAGAGCCAGAGCCACCCCGGAGAUUUUGUUCUGUCUGUCCGAACUGGUGACGACAAAGGGGAGAGCAAUGAUGGCAAGUCUAAAGUGACCCACGUCAUGAUCCGCUGUCAGGAACUGAAAUAUGAUGUUGGUGGAGGAGAACGGUUUGACUCUUUGACAGAUCUUGUGGAGCAUUACAAGAAGAAUCCCAUGGUGGAAACAUUGGGCACAGUACUACAACUCAAGCAGCCCCUCAACACAACACGUAUCAAUGCUGCUGAAAUAGAAAGCCGGGUUCGAGAACUAAGCAAAUUAGCUGAGACCACAGAUAAAGUCAAACAAGGCUUUUGGGAAGAAUUUGAGACACUACAACAACAGGAGUGCAAACUUCUCUACAGCCGAAAAGAGGGUCAGAGGCAAGAAAAUAAGAACAAAAAUAGAUAUAAAAACAUCCUGCCCUUUGAUCAUACCAGGGUUGUCCUACACGAUGGUGAUCCCAAUGAGCCUGUUUCAGAUUACAUCAAUGCAAAUAUUAUCAUGCCUGAGUUUGAAACCAAAUGCAACAAUUCAAAGCCCAAAAAAAGUUACAUCGCCACACAAGGCUGCCUGCAGAACACGGUGAACGACUUUUGGCGGAUGGUAUUUCAGGAGAACUCCCGAGUGAUCGUCAUGACAACGAAGGAGGUGGAGAGAGGAAAGAGUAAAUGUGUCAAAUACUGGCCUGACGAGUAUGCUCUAAAAGAAUAUGGGGUCAUGCGUGUUAGGAACGUCAAAGAAAGUGCUGCUCAUGACUAUACAUUAAGAGAACUUAAACUUUCAAAAGUUGGACAAGCUCUACUCCAGGGGAAUACAGAGAGAACCGUGUGGCAAUACCACUUUCGGACCUGGCCGGACCACGGAGUGCCCAGUGACCCUGGGGGCGUGCUGGACUUCCUGGAGGAGGUCCACCAUAAGCAAGAGAGCAUUAUGGACGCAGGGCCUGUGGUAGUUCACUGCAGUGCUGGAAUCGGCAGGACAGGGACGUUCAUUGUGAUUGAUAUCCUUAUUGACAUCAUCAGAGAGAAAGGCGUCGACUGUGACAUCGAUGUUCCCAAAACCAUUCAGAUGGUGCGGUCUCAGAGGUCAGGGAUGGUCCAGACAGAAGCACAGUACCGAUUCAUCUAUAUGGCCGUCCAGCAUUACAUUGAAACACUACAGCGCAGGAUUGAAGAAGAGCAGAAAAGCAAGAGGAAAGGGCAUGAAUACACAAAUAUUAAGUAUUCUCUAACGGACCAGACAAGUGGAGAUCAGAGUCCCCUCCCGCCUUGUACCCCAACACCGUCUUGUGCAGACCCGUCCUAGAACGCAGCUCCUGGGGCCUGUGUCUGCACCGUAUCGGGUCCUCAAAGAAUGGAAAUGAGAGAAGAUAAUGCUAGAGUCUAUGAAAACGUGGGUCUGAUGCAGCCGCAGAAAAGUUUCAGAUGAGAACACCCACCAGGACGUCAGCACAGACCUAGAUGUGGACCUUUACCCUCUCCCUAAAAAGAUCAAGACCAGACGCAAGAAAGUAUGUGUGAAGAAUGAUUUGAAUUUGGAAGGCUUGUGUUGUGGUUGACUACCUUUGGAUAAGCAAAACUCGAAACCAUUUAAAGACCACUGUAUUCUAACUCAACAAUACCUGAUUACCAAUUACUCAUUUCCUCAGAUAAGAAGAAAUCGUCUCUACAAUGUAGACAGUGUUAUAUUUCAUAGAAUUUUAUUUUAAAUUGAGGAAGCAGUUAAUUGUGCUCUUGUGUUUUACAGAUGACGGUGAUUCAAAUUCUACUUAUUGGCAUUUUCUUCUCUUUUUAUAACCUUAAAAAUUCAAUUAUUUUUCUCUUUGUGAGGGAUGACAGGGCACUUAUAAGAGGAAAAACGUUUUGGGAAGGGUGACAACAUCCCGUGGGAGUGAGAACAGUUUCAUUUAUCAUUGCUUAUCCAGUAGUGGAAAAGUCAUUUGAUGGCCUCUUUUUUUGGCUAAAUGAUCAUUAAGCCAGUGGCCCCAGACUGUCAGAAGUCGACUCUCUACCUUUGCAUUGCCAUUAAAAAAUCAUGGGAAAAAAGAAUCAUGGAAACUUGGGAGGAAAGGUGUGUUUUCUUCUUAGCGGAUCGCCAGUUACCAUUCAGCCUGUUGGCUGAGAAGGAGGUGGUGGGAAAAUGUUUGUCAUGUUUUCUUUUCGUUUGAGUCAUCGUCUUGUAUUUAGAAAAAGCGCAUCUGUGGAUAACCAACCAGUGUCGUGGUUAUCGAUUGUUGGUGACAAACCACCCCAAAAUGCAGUGGCUGAAACCAUACUUCUUUUGUUUGCCUCCUCCCUGUUCUUCUUCAAUCUGGGCUGGGCUCAGCUGAGCUGUUCCUGUCCUCUCGCUGGUGUUGCCCGUGUGGUCAGCUGGUCGCCCAAAGACACUGGGAUGGCUGGGCUUCUUUCUGCAGGUCCCCAGGCCUCUCCUCCAUGCGAUGGCUCCAAGGGGCCCCGCCAGCAGGGUAGCUGGACCGCUUACAUGGCAGCUCAGAGCUCCCAAGGGUAUCAAGCAGCAAUGGCCAGGCCUUCUUAAGACUUAAACCCAGAACUUCUACUGCCCUCUAUUGAUUAAAGCAUCACAGGCCCAGCCCAGAUUCAGGAAGGGGGGAUGGCACGAGGGCAUGAGGCAGAGGUGUGAUUCACGGGGGGCCCCCCAGAGUAAUAGGCUGUCAGAACCAGUUUCACAGGAAAACAGCAAUUGUUAGCAAAAGUAGAAGCUGCUGGUGACGUUGGGAAAUGGAAGCUGCUUCUAAUAGCUGGUGUAAGCUGGAAGUCAAACUGAGAAAUAGAGGGCCUUCUAGAAGCUUCCUGAACCACUUCUGCUGGCUCUGAGCAUAUUUUCUGAGCCAUCACUUGGGGAAACUGGUCUCGUAAGGAUGGAUGUGUUGAGGGGGCAGAGCAUCUGAAAGCAGAACUACCCUGUCCCGGGGCCCCCCGCAGAGGGCAGUGCUUCCUCCCUGCCCGUGGUUUCAGGCAGGCUGCAGCCCAGAGGGGGUGCUCCUCAUGAGGCCUUGCCUCAGACUGAAUUAGCAGUAGUUCAUUUUGGUUCUAAUCAAGCAGUAAGAUUUGCUACCGUUCUACCUGAAGUGCCUUCUCCAAAGACAUCCUCUUUGCCCUGUGCGUGGAAUCAGCCUUCAGUGAGUAUGUUUCAAUGGAAGUGUCAUUGGUUGACUUUGUAAAGAUAAUAAAAUGCCACGGUGACUUGGCCAUAAGGUUACGGUCUCCUCACGCAGAUUCUUCUGGCUUUGGCUCCCGAUCCAGCCCCGGUAGUACUUCUGUUCUGAGGUCUUUACCUCCCGUGAAACCUUGAGGUAGUUUGGGGACUGCCUUCGCUGCCAUUUUCACAGAUAAAAUGCACAUUGACCCCCCCUCCACCCCCCUAUUGAGCCUAGAAUGGCUUUAGAACGCAGGUGUGGCCCAGAGGUAAUUACCUUCUAAGGUAAUUACCUUCUAAUUCUAAGGGGAAUGUCAAUAACUGCUGUCUUCUUGUCAAGCUUGUAAAGAAAGAGAUUCCAGUUCAGUAUGUGCAACAACGAUCUUGAAUCCUGUUCUUUUUAUUGCAUUGUCACAUUGAAAUUUUCUAGUUUGCCUUGAUUUUGUGGUACAGUUGAGACUCUGGACUUUGGGGGCCAAGUCUUUCACCAGCAUACAAGGGUUUGAUUGUACAAAUAUAUCUGCUGCAUUAACGUCUCCGCCUGUAGCUUAAGAUCAAGUUGUUUUGUGCUUGGAACAGAAACGCCUGAUCUCGGCUAGCUUUGUUUGUUACAGGACAUUGAUUUCAUUUAGAUUUCCCUCCACGAAGUCAGCAAACUAUCAUGUUAUGUAAACUUCUGCCAAGACAAGAUUGUAGUAGUCCCGAGGUUGUUGAGGUUUGUCGUGUGUCUGGUGAAAAGGGGAUUGCAGGUUCUCAGAUGAGAUUGCUCUCCCCGAGUUGGAGUCAGGGAGAGAGGCCGUGAAGAUGUGGGGAGCUGGAGGUGCAGGUGUUAAAAAGUAGUGGAAAUGAAAGUUCGAAAGAGGUGGUUUGUGAGGAGGUCAGAGGGCGCGGGGCCAGCGCAGUCAGAACUUGAGUAGGUUGAAUCAGGUUACCUGGCAAGUAGGUGUGAUAGAUACAGGGAUGCAGGCUGCUCCCGGGUUGCUGGUAGACAUUAAAUUUGCACAAUAUCCCGUAGCUGGUUGAGUAUUUUAAAAUGAUAAGCAUAGGGUUUUAUAUUUGGGGUGAAGAAAUUAUCUGACACAUGGUAUUGGGGUUUUUUUAAAACAAAUUUCAGAGUCUUAAGAGCUUUUUUUUAAAAAUAAAUAAAUAAAUAAAAAAGACACCUCACCUCCAGUGUGUGACCCUCCUGAAAAUCACGGACCUCUCUCCCAUUGAAUCAGUGACUUUUCAGAUGUGGCUAAAUGGGGAUGAGAAAAUUGCCGUAUGACUUUCUUGGUGUUUGUACUUUCUUUAUGGAGCCUAGUUGCUUUGGAACAGCCAAGAAGAUUAUCAAGAUUAUUUUUAGGGGCUAUUUUACUGGGGAUCUGAAGAACUAAUAUGACAUCCUGGGUUAUUUCUAGUUCGGGGGGAAUGUGGAAAGAGUAUGCAAUUGUGAAGUGUUUUGUUGUAGCUUAUUAAUCCAUAAGGGGAACUUAGACUGUAGACAUAAGGACACACCCAGUACAGUUUCUGUUUUCUGUAUGUUGUUGGCGCAAUAAAGUUUUAUAUAGCAAGCACAUGGCCUCCCUGAUUUCAAGAUGCCUUUAUUAGGAUCUGUAUUAGCCCUUAAUGUUGUUGAAACCUUUCUCCCUCUUCCUCUUGAAAAAUAAGUUCCAAAAUACAGUUUAUUGUAUCUUCCAUCAUUGAAAAGUUUGUUCUUUUUUCACUAUGGGCAGUUCACACAAGGCAAAAAUAUUAAACAGUUGGUUUUAGUGUGUUGUAUAACUUUACUGUAUAUCAAACUAAUUUCUACAAGUUUUCAUCCUAAACCUCAAAUCAUGUAAUUAAUAAUUUGCCUGUUUAUUUAUGACAUAAUUGUGAUUCUUUUAUUAAUAAAAGCUAACGGAAAAGGAUCCUUUAUUAAGCUGAUGACUAGACCUACAUUUAAUUUUCCUGCAUUAUAUGAAGUAUUGUACCAGAGUAUUAAAAGAUAUGUAAUAUUUUAUUGAUAAAUCUAUCCUUUAAAAGGAAUACAUUUUAGGAUGUCAUCAUUUUGAUGUGAAUCAUGUAAAUGUUGAUAAUAUGCACUGUUUAUUAUACAUUUAGUGUUUCAAGACAUUCACUUAAUUGCCUUUUUGCCCACGUAUUAUGUAGUCUGUUUGCAAUUGUUUUUAAAAAAUGACAUGAAAAGAAUAGUUUAUGUAGAGAAACAUUAGUGGAUGUUAAUUGUCUCCCCACCUGUAUUUAUGGGUGUUAGUUCAACUGCGUUGCUAGUUGCAAAGCCGUAUUAUCAGAGUAAACGUGUAUUUGUAAACUGUAUGGGAACUAAGAAUUAGGAAUAAAACCAUUUUCUUAUAUUA